AACACACAAGAAAGAAAGAAAAAAAAAAAACAAGCAAGAAAGAAAGCAAGCAAGCAAGAAAGAAAGAGCUUCCCGCAUUUGCGUGUGCAUGCUAUUAAAGUGACAUCGUGUCAUUUGAUUUCGUCAUGAAGAAGGUUUUCUCUGUUGACAAUGAAACGAGUGCGAAUCAAAGAGAACAACGAAGGAAG
rnacentral:ribozyme from 1 species